CCGAAAUGUCACCCACAACUCCACCUCCUCCCCCGGGUAGUAUCAUGCAAUACCUUGUAAUGAUUUCAACUAACAACAGGUCCGAGGGAGUUGGUACACCGCCUUGUGGUCAAGGAUGAUGCUAAAUCCUAGGAAGCAGGCAUGAAUAGAUAUUUAAUUAAUGGAUAUAUAUUGAAUUAACAGCUAUACUUAUCAAUGUAAAGUAACACCAUUCUUAGUUUUAACUACAAAAUCUCCAAGUCCCCAGCCCAUGAACCUUCACCUUUGAUGUAAAUGUAUGCCAUCACUGCCAAGUUAACACUAAAAUGUAAUGUACAUUUUUACCUAGUUGAAUAUUGACGUAGUGUGUACAUUUUUCAUUGAACCAAGCUUUAAACUGAUGGUGUCAGAUUGGUGGUCAGUCCAGCUACAGUUUGAACUCUUCUUACACUGAAUUAAAAAUCAAGCAAAUGACAAGUUCAAAUCUUCACAAAACAGUGAAACAGUGAUUUAUUCAACAAGUUUAUUUCUUACUCAGAGUGAAACAAGGUUGUUUUACAUGACUGAUAUCCAUUCUAAAUAUUUCAUACUUAUUCUACAGACAGUCCCCUUAAUUAUCUAAAUCACCCCAGCUGUAGAA